GCGGACUUGGACCGAACGAGUGUCCGUCCGCUAAGCACUGAGCGAAGAAACUUGCAUCCGGGCGGAGAAACCGUUUUAGUUUCCCCGACUACAAUUCCCAGCAUUCCCGCGCUGAAGUAACCUGUCUGCUCCUGCGUUCGGAAAUUCAAAUGCUCAAGAAGAAAAAUACGAGCAAAGUGGAAUAGAAAAGGUCCCUUUCACACUAACCAAUAGCAAAAGCAAGUCUCUGGCAUGGUUUCUGUUUCCCAAGUCAGAAGAGGGAGUGGUGUAGGUUCCAUGCCCAACAUGGGGCUUGAACUCACCACCAACUGAGCCAGCCAGGUGCUACAACUUGCUAUUUUUUCGAAGAUUAAUUUGUAUAUCAGAAAGGGAGAACACAAAUGGUAAUUGUCUAUUUGUCAAUUAUAAUGGUAAUUCCCAGCUAGUAAUUGAUGACAUAGGUUUUUGGCAGAAUGUAUGUUUAAUAGAGUCUUUGUCUUUUGGAAGUUCAAAAUGUAAAAUUAAAUAUAAUCAUGCCCAUGACAUUAAAGUAUGGAGAAGAUUAAUUCUUCCUCGCCAACUGCCACUACAGAGAGUUUGAUGACUGGCCUUAAAAGGCAAGGAUUGUAGUCACAAAAAAUAAUUAACCAUUUCAUAAGCACCUAUGGAUUACAAGCCCAGUGAAGUCUCUUAAGGCUUUAAGAAUUUAUUUUCCCAUAUUAAAAAUGUAUGAACUUGACACCA